rnacentral:tRNA from 1 species
ACCAGGAUGGCCUAGAGGUUAAGGUGUAAGACAAAUGUUGCAAUGGACAAAUGUCCUUCUGGGUUCGAACUACAGUCCUGGUA